AGUGAGUGAAGCUGAAGUUGUGUGUACACAGCUGGAGGAGCAGUUAUGGGACUGAGUAACAUGGCAAUAAAGUCCUGGCGCCAAGCACCCCAGUUGCUAAGUAACGCUAUUAAACAAGAGGAACCUUGACUUUCCAUGUUUGCUGUCGGGAGGCGAGGGAAACGUUGAUGUACACAAACGCUGCAUUCCUGAUCUUUCCUCUCGACUUCACCACCACAUAGAUAGAAUUACCAGGGUGAGAGGCUUGGAGCUAAAUGACCAGUUAACAGGAUCUGAAGCUGC